rnacentral:rRNA from 1 species
ACUCCUACGGGAGGCAGCAGUGAGGAAUAUUGGUCAAUGGUCGCAAGACUGAACCAGCCAUGCCGCGUGCAGGAAGACGGUCCUAUGGAUUGUAAACUGCUUUUAUACAGGAAGAAACCCUCCCACGUGUGGGAGCUUGACGGUACUGUAGGAAUAAGGAUCGGCUAACUCCGUGCCAGCAGCCGCGGUAAUACGGAGGAUCCAAGCGUUAUCCGGAAUCAUUGGGUUUAAAGGGUCCGUAGGCGGCCUUAUAAGUCAGUGGUGAAAGCCCAUCGCUCAACGAUGGAACUGCCAUUGAUACUGUAAGGCUUGAAUUAUUGUGAAGUAACUAGAAUAUGUAGUGUAGCGGUGAAAUGCUUAGAUAUUACAUGGAAUACCAAUUGCGAAGGCAGGUUACUAACAAUGGAUUGACGCUGAUGGACGAAAGCGUGGGAGCGAACAGGAUUAGAUACCCCUGGUAGGAUAGCG